GACGAACCACACGAACGUUAUUCGGACUUACUGGGCUUAACGGGUGCGUAGGCGGCGCAGAAAGUUGGGUGUGAAAUCCCUCGGCUCAACCGAGGAACUGCGCCCAAAACUACUGUGCUUGAGGAAGAUAGAGGUAAGCGGAACUUACGGUGGAGCGGUGAAAUGCGUUGAUAUCGUAAGGAACACCUGUGGCGAAAGCGGCUUACUGGGUCUUUUCUGACGCUGAUGCACGAAAGCCAGGGGAGCAAACGGG
rnacentral:rRNA from 1 species